ensembl:lncRNA
CUUAGCUGAAGUGUGAAAAAUUUACACACUAUGAUUUACCAUUUUCUACUUUUGAAGAACCGCUGAAGCUGCACAAAUCAAUGGAAAAACUCCUACAAACAGCUGUGGGCAACAAACACAUUCAUCAGUCUCCACGUGCAUCUCAGCGACAUUACCCUGUGUCAGGAAUAGAAAUAUUGUCCUGCUAUUAGUUGCUGCUAUUUUUAUAAUCAUCAUUAACAUUUCAGUAUUAAUAGUGAGGUUGCAUUUAGAUGCAUUCAGAUGUUCAGAUAUAUGGUUAUAGCCUUUAUUACAGGUCCAAAGAAGAACCAUUUUAAAUGGUUCUGUUGAAUCUAUAAUUUGAAUGUUAUUAAUGCUUUUAUGAUCUCUGUGUAGAGGGCAGAGACAGGAAACAAAACGCGUCUGCAGAGCAUGUUUUGCAGAAGUGAAACUGAAGCCAGAAGUUUAAGUGCAAGGGUGUUUAGUAUGCAUUUAUUGCGGAUUAAGCCUUAAGCAGUUGUGGUAGAUUGAAACAGUUGUUUAUAUAUUUCACAUAUAAGUCAAGAGUGGGAGUGUCAGGAAUAGAAAUAUUGUCCUGCUAUUAGUUGCUGCUAUUUUUAUAAUCAUCAUUAACAUUUCAGUAUUAAUAGUGAGGUUGCAUUUAGAUGCAUUCAGAUGUUCAGAUAUAUGGUUAUAGCCUUUAUUACAGGUCCAAAGAAGAACCAUUUUAAAUGGUUCUGUUGAAUCUAUAAUUUGAAUGUUAUUAAUGCUUUUAUGAUCUCUGUGUAGAGGGCAGAGACAGGAAACAAAACGCGUCUGCAGAGCAUGUUUUGCAGAAGUGAAACUGAAGCCAGAAGUUUAAGUGCAAGGGUGUUUAGUAUGCAUUUAUUGCGGAUUAAGCCUUAAGCAGUUGUGGUAGAUUGAAACAGUUGUUUAUAUAUUUCACAUAUAAGUCAAGAUCAUUACACACAGGAUGGCCUUAGCCUGGUUGGUUGCUUAAGUUGAGGUCAACUAAGGAUCAGAAAAGCAGAUGCAAACUCUGCACGCACAGACAGACAAAUAGUGAGAGGUCAUGACACGUACGUAGCAUACACUGCAGACACAUACACACAGAAAUGCAGAAGUGUGCCGACGUACUUAGAGGAAGUGCACCAGACGAGCGACAGCGAAGAGGGGAAGCACCGACC